AACGAACGCUGGCGGCAUGCCUAACACAUGCAAGUCGAACGAGACCUUCGGGUCUUGUGGCGCACGGGUGCGUAACGCGUGGGAACCUGCCCUUAGGUUCGGAAUAACUUCCCGAAAGGGGUGCUAAUACCGGAUAAUGUCUUCGGACCAAAGAUUUAUCGCCUUUGGAUGGGCCCGCGUUGGAUUAGCUAGUUGGUAGGGUAAAAGCCUACCAAGGCGACGAUCCAUAGCUGGUCUGAGAGGAUGUUCAGCCACACUGGGACUGAGACACGGCCCAGACUCCUACGGGAGGCAGCAGUGGGGAAUAUUGGACAAUGGGCGAAAGCCUGAUCCAGCAAUGCCGCGUGAGUGAUGAAGGCCUUAGGGUUGUAAAGCUCUUUUACCCGGGAUGAUAAUGACAGUACCGGGAGAAUAAGCUCCGGCUAACUCCGUG
rnacentral:rRNA from 1 species